rnacentral:rRNA from 1 species
GAUGAACGCUGGCGGCGUGCCUAAUACAUGCAAGUCGAGCGAACGGACGAGAAGCUUGCGUCUCUGAUGUUAGCGGCGGACGGGUGAGUAACACGUGGAUAACCUACCUAUAAGACUGGGAUAACUUCGGGAAACCGGAGGUAAUACCGGAGCAUCUUUUGAACCGCGUGGUUCAAAAGUGAUAGGCGGUCUUGCGGUCACUUAUAGAUGGAUCCGCGCUGCAUUAGCUAGGUGGUAAGGUAACGGCUUACCAAGGCAACGAUGCAUAGCCGACGUGGGAGAGUGAUCGCCCACACGGGAACGUGAACACGGACCAGACUCCUACGGGAGGCAGCAGUAGGGUACCGUCCGCAGUGGUCGAAAGCCUUACGGAGCAACGCCGCGUGAGUGAUGAAGGUCUUCGGAGCGUAAUACUCGGUUACGAGGGAAGAACAUAUUUGUAAGGAACUGUGCACAUCUUGACGGUACCUAAUCAGAAAGCAACGGCUAACUACGUG